rnacentral:rRNA from 1 species
UACGUAGGGUCCAAGCGUUAUCCGGAAUCACUGGGCGUAAAGCGUGCGUAGGCGGGAGUUUAAGUGCAAUGCGAAAUCUUGUGGCUCAACCAUACAGACUGUAUUGCAUACUGGACACCUAGAGGACGGCAGAGGCAAGUGGAAUUACUGGUGUAGCAGUGAAAUGCGUAGAUAUUAGGAAGAACACCAGUGGCGAAGGCGGCUCACUGGCCCGGUACUGACGCUGAGGCGCGAAAGCGUGGGGAGCAAACAGG